GACGAACGCUGGCGGCGUGCUUAACACAUGCAAGUCGAACGGAAAGGCCCCUUUGGGGGUACUCGAGUGGCGAACGGGUGAGUAACACGUGAGUAACCUGCCCUUGCCUUCGGGAUAACUUCAUGAAACUGGGGCUAAUACCUGAUAGGAAUCCUUGCUGCAUGGUUGGGGUUGGAAAGCUUCGGCGGUUUUGGAUGGACUCGCGGCUUAUCAGCUUGUUGGUGGGGUAGUGGCUUACCAAGGCUUUGACGGGUAGCCGGCCUGAGAGGGCGACCGGCCACAUUGGGACUGAGAUACGGCCCAGACUCCUACGGGAGGCAGCAGGGGGGAAUAUUGCACAAUGGGCGGAAGCCUGAUGCAGCAACGCCGCGUGCAGGAUGACGGCCUUCGGGUUGGAAACCGCUUUCAGCAGGGGCGAAGCUUGUGGUGACGGUACCUGCAGAAGAAGCACCGGCUAACUACGUG
rnacentral:rRNA from 1 species